AUCGGUGUCGACUCCUUGGUGGUUUCUCGGACAGCAAUAUUACCCUUAAGUAAGUUUUAAAUUUGUCUCUGCAUUUUUAUAGUAGUUCUUUGUAAAUUUUGUAUGACUUUUUAAAUUAAUUAAUUUUACUUUUUUACUUUAACUAGUGUAGUAAGAGGGAUCUUUUUUUUUUUUAUUGGAGUUCAAUUUGCCAACAUAUAGCAUAUCACCCAGUGCUCAUCCCAUCAAGUACCCCCCUCAGUGCCCGUCAGACUCCACAUCCAGCAUGAUGCCCAAUGUGAAUUGGUUGAAUUCACAACCCUGAGGUCAAGACUUGAGCUGAGAUCAAGUGUCAGACACUUAACUGUCUGGGCCACUCUGUUACUUUCCUUAUUUUAUAUCUGGUUUUCUUUUCAUUUUUUUUUUACAGUUUAUUUUAUUAAAUGUAAUCUUAUUUGUGUCAUGGAUGCCAAAUUUCAUUUAAAUACAUUUAUGUUCUGAUGUGGGUUUUUUUUUCCCUUGUCAAGCUUUACUGGGUAUAAAGAAAUAAAGCUUCUAUAAACAUGAGGUUGCCUGUACAACUUCUCACCUUGCAUAUUAUAAAUGAAAGCUUGUGCUUCUUAACAUGUCCCAUUAGGUUCCCAAAACUUCCUCCAUUAGUGAGUGUGUUAUUCAUAUUUGAAAAUUCUGGAAGGCAAAUUCAACUAGUCUUUUAUGCCUUUUAUUUCUCAUAAACUGAAUAUUCAUUAUUUCAGCUGCUACCAAGAUGUUUACAGGGUAUAAAGUGCACAAAGUAUUUUUUGGAAAGGCAUCACUGAUCACUGAUUUACUCAGAAAAUUUUCCUGAUUUUUUUCAUUCUUAUGUGUGCAGCCUUUUAAUCUUCAAAUUAGUCUUUGGAAGUAGACACAAGUCUAAAUUUUCUCUUGUAGACUGUCAGUGUUAUUUUAAUACAAAGAUGAAUUUUAAGUGAGCCUCAGGUUUUUUGUUUUUUUUGUUUUUUUGUCGUAAGUUUCAAUGACAUGAAAGCCCACACAGUAUGAGUACUUUUUAUUUUCAUUGAUGUUUUGAUGAUUCCUUUUGCCUUGUGGGAGUCAUAAUAAAAAAUGAGUAAGAUUAUAGAUUAAAUCA
rnacentral:lncRNA from 12 species